rnacentral:rRNA from 1 species
GACGAACGCUGGCGGCGUGCUUAACACAUGCAAGUCGAACGGAAAGGCCCUGCUUUUGUUGGGUUCUCGUGUGGCGAACGGGUGAGUAACACGUGAGUAACCUGCCCUUGACUUUGUGAUAUCUUCAGGAAACUGGGGCUAAUACCGGAUAUGAGCUCCUGCUGCGUGGGGGGCGUUGGAGAGUUUCGGCGGUUGUGGAUGGACUCGCGGCUUAUCAGCUGGUUGGUGGGGUUGUGGCUUACCAAGGCUUUGACGGCUAGCCGGCCUGAGAGGGUGACAGGCCACAGAGGGAUAGGGGAGCGGGCCAGAGGGAAACGGGCGGAAGGGGUGGGGAACAGUGCAAGAUGCGCGGAGGGCGGAAGGAGGAACGUCGGGUGGGAGAAGACGGCCAUCGGGGUGUAAAAAGCGUGCGAGUGUGAAGACGCGUGAGGAAGGGUCCUGGGUAAAGAAGCACGGGCAAAUUACGG